CUGCUAUGUCUGCAAACAAAAGAUUCCUUCAACUGAGGAAGGUAUAAAGUACAAUAAGCAUCCGUUCUGGAAAAAGAAAUACUGUCCUUGUCAUGACAAUGAUGGAACUGCCAAGUGUUGCAGCUGUGAAAGAUUAGAAGAGUCUUUUGGAACCAAGUAUGUAAUGCUUGCAGAUGGUCGAUGGCUGUGUCGUGAAUGUAUGGAAUACGCGGUUAUGGAUACUGAUGAAUGCCAUGAUUUACAUGUUGAAAUCCGAGAAUUCUUCGAAGGCUUGUUCUUGAAGGUUGAUAAAGAGUUCCCUCUUCUUCUGGUAGAGAAACAAGCGUUGAAUAAAGCUGAGGAAGAAGAGAAGA